rnacentral:rRNA from 1 species
UACGUAGGGUGCAAGCGUUGUCCGGAAUUAUUGGGCGUAAAGAGCUCGUAGGCGGUUCGUCACGUCGGCUGUGAAAACCUGAGGCUCAACCUCAGGCCUGCAGUCGAUACGGGCGGUCUCGAGUUCGGCAGGGGAGACUGGAAUUCCUGGUGUAGCGGUGAAAUGCGCAGAUAUCAGGAGGAACACCGGUGGCGAAGGCGGUUCUCUGGGCAAUGACCGACGCUGAGGCGCGAAGGCGUGGGAAGCAAACAGG